GCCGGAGAUGGAAUUCUUUCCCAUUUCCACAAUUAACUCUAUCUCCCUCCUCACCAAAAACAAAGCACCUAGAAAUCUUCCUCCACUCCCCUGCCACGGUUCCUUGCCCAAACGCCACCCUCCCGUCCUCUGCCACCACUGGUCUAGUGGCACCGCCAACCACUGCUCAUGCCACCCAAAAUCAAACCCUCUCUCUUCUCUUUCAAGGUUAGGUAUCUACAUAUAUUAAUUUAAGUUAUCUUAAUUAUUUCAAUUAUAUAAAUUAAAGUUUAGUUAAUGUUUCAUUAAAUUUAGGUUUUCCUCCUAUUGAUUAUAUUUAUGCUAGCAUUUUCUAUAUUAGAAGAUUAUGAUUAUGCUAGGUUUACAACUUAUGACAGAUUUCGUUAAAUAUUUAAAAAAAAAUUAAGAACAAAGUUAUAUGUAUGACUUAAGACAUAGAUAAUUAGAUUGUAAACCUUUUAAAAGUAGAAAGAGGCUAUAAUAUUUGAAUAAAAGAAUAAAUAAUCUAAAAUAGUAACUAGCGCCACUUAGACGCAACAAAUGUUUCAAAAUUAUUUUUAUUGUCACAUAGUAUUUUUAAUCCAUUCUAAUUAAGUGUGAUAGUCUAAUUAUGACUAAGGCUAGGGUUAGCUAAUUUUAUAUUUUAAUUAUAUUGCCCUUUAAUGGUCUGAUUGAAUUUAGAAAAACUUAUUUGGGGAUAUAUGUGAAUUUUUAAAUUAAUAAGUACUCAAACUAUUUAAAUUUAUUAUAUUGUUACUAAAUUUUAUUGUGUAACUUAAACUAUAAAUCAAUGUAAAUAGUCAAUUAAUAUAACAUGCGAUUUAUAUUUUAGUGAAGUACUAGAAAAAUUAAUGUAAAACCAACGGUAGAAAAAUUAUUGAUUUACAACUAAUAAUGAAGUACUAGAAACAUAAAUGGCAGCAAGUAGUAAACGAGUAAUAAAGAAACAAUAUAAUUCGAACAUCGAUGACAUGUAAAUGAACUCAAAUGCUCAACAAGGAAGAGGUUUUACAAUAACAAUAGCCCAUGGCUACACCACAAAGGGGGAAAGGAAUAUCAACAACAAUAAUAAUGUAAAAUACCCAACAAGGAAAAGGCUUUACAAUAACAAUUUUGCCUCAACGUGAUAACGGCUUUCACAACUUCAAUACUAAUAACUCAACAAUGAGAAAGAUAAUGUAUAACUACGAUAUUAGACAAGAAUUACUCACAAUGAAAGAGAUAACAUGUAGCAACGACUUCAAAUAAUAAAAAUCAACAAUGAAAAAGAUAACAUGAACAAUAACUUCAAAUAAUGGUAAUAGACAAUGAAAGAGAUAACAUGAACGAUAACUAAAAAUAAUAGUAAUCAAAAUGAAAAAGGUAACAUGAACAAUAACUUCAAAUAAUGAUAAUCAACAAUGAACAAGAUAGGAUGUAACAAUAAAAGAGGCAACAUGUUCAACUAAAGCAUGAGAGCAAUUUAUCGAUUAGGAUGUAGAACGGUUGUUAAAGAAAUCAUUUUAGGUAUGUAAGGAUAGACUAACACAAAUAAGAAUAUAAUGACUAUGAUAAAUUUAGAACAUGAUAUGGCAUUUCAAUUAAGGCAUGAAAAUAGUCUAAGUAGCCUAAAUCGAUCAAAAUAUCACAUAUAACAUGUGUAACCAUUCGUCACCUUGCGUAUCCAACUUUCACAUAGCACAAAUGAAUUAAUCAAUACCAGUCUUAUAAAGUUAGGCAAGAUAUUUACCUCAACUUGGCCAACUCAACCCUCCAAACUAGCCUUUCCCUUAAUAUUCGCCUCAACACGGCUCAAAUCUAACAAAAAAAUUGACUCAACAACAUCAAACAAUGCAAGAGAAACCAAUUACAAUAAAUAAAACUAUGAUCUUUACAUUUUUUCCAAAAAGUCAACACCGGCCCCGCAUUGGAUUUUAAAUCCAAGCUUACCCUAUCAAACCCCUAACUAAUACAAACUCACACGAACAAAAAACGACUCAAUCGGAGUCUGAUAGCUCAACCAAUUCGCCAAAAUUUCACUCUUGGGUGUUCAUAACGUAAGAGUCCAACCCACACUAGUUGGGUCCCGCAUCUCCUGAAUAUCCUUUCAAAACUCUCUAAAUUCGAGUAUGUUGUUCUCCUAAUAUAGGAGAACAUGACCCCAAAAGGAAUCAGAGUAUAACUGCCACUAACUCAUUUUUAAUUUUUAAAAUUAAGGACAUAACCCGAGGUCUUGAUUUAAAGAAUUAAAUGAAAUUUCAAUUAAAAUCAUGGAUUAAAGCUUAAACCAAGUGAAUGAAUCAAAUAAAAAUACUUAGGUUAUGGUUUAGACUUUAACCAACGGAAGAAACAUGAAGCACAUCCUUGAAUUCUCUCAAUCCCAAAUUUUCAAGAUGGAAAAAACUCCAACAACACUAAUAGCCAAAAAAACCCUGCUAUUCUGCCUCUUUUCUUGUGUCAAACAAACCCCGAAACUAAUUUUUGAUGCCUCCAAUAGAUUCCUCGUGAAAUUUCAUUCAAGUUAGGCUUUUUAAUCACUCCAUUUAACCUUAUAAUGAAGAAGAUAUGUUGGUUUCGAUAUUUUAAAAUAGUACAGAUUUUUAAAUACGAAUUUAGAGGCAAUAUCGUAAUUAAUCUAAAAAAUAUGCAACCCAAUUCUUAGCAAAAUGGCCAUAAUUCCUCAUACGAUGUCAAAACUUGAUGAUUUCAGUUAUUAUGCUUCCAAAAUUACGAUACGGAUAAAAUGGUUUAGUUGAAACAUGAAUCAAAGAUCAUUUGCUAAAAUGGUAAUCUUUAUGCUCAAAUCGAUGUCGAAACUGAAAACAACCACCAUGCAACCCAAACUUAUCCAAAACUCAUUAGAAUUUAACCAAAACUUUGUGGACGUGUCCAAAGUCAUCAUACAAGCUUAUCAGUGUUUUUUGCCAUAUCGCGUAUAACGGGAAUUGAACCCCUUCCGAUGUUGAGGGUAAAUGGAAUAAUUAAAGCCUAAUUCUGAGUCCAUUUACCCAAAAGUUAAAUCUUGAUCAACUCAUUCAACUUAAAAUUUCUAAAACGAGAAUUAUUCUUCCAAAUCAAUACCGUGAAAACUGAAUGCAUGCAAGUCAUAAUACAUAAUAUGAAGCUAAUCAAAGUCUUAAACUUCCGAAUAAAAUGCUAAAGCUUAGAACCGCUCGCAUCGUUACAACCCUAGAAAGUUUUGAGCUUAUUUUUCAAACGUUUGCAAUUUGAAGAAUUAUAGAGUUUUUUAGUUUGACUCAUAGUUGACUUUGGUGAUAUUCGAUUCUGAAUGUUGUUCUAAAAGUUGGAACGGGUUCUAAAAAUUUAGAUAUAAUCUAGUGGUUAGGCUUGAAUCGAACAGGUGUUUGGAAGUUUGAAAGUUCUUGAGCUUAAGAGAAGUUCAACUUGUGGUUUGACCUUUCAUUCAUUGAUAUGAUGUAUAUAGUACGUGUUUGAAGACUUUGGAUAGGUCGCGGUAGUAUUUACGAACUUAUUGGUAGAGUUGGACGGGGUCUCGGGUAGCUCGGGUGAGUUUCAGACCACCCGGAGUAUGUUUGGAGUUGGAUGAUGUGCUGGUUGUGAUGUUGAUCGCGUUCACAAGGGGAUUCUCGUGUUCAGGAUGAAGGAUUUGGAGCUGAGAAGGAUUCUUCGCGUUCAUGCCGCCAUCGUGUUCGCUAUGGCUUGUGUCUUUGUUCUUCACUUUCGCGUUUGGAUGGCCAUGUUCACGAAUAGGAGCAACGAGUUGAGGGCUUUAGCCUUCGCAUCCGCAAGGGAUUAGUCGCGUUCGAUAAGAGACUAAUAGGGAAGGGUUGCAUUAGAGAGACGGGCUUUGAAAUUACAAAGAGGAAUUUCAGGCUGAAGCAUUUUUUGUUUUGUGCAUGCGAGGUAUGGACCGCGCUUGGGAAGAGUACCCAUGGACAAAAUAUCUAAGUUUUGUAUUUCUGGAUUUUAGUCUAUUCUCGUAUUUUGAAUCCUAGUCUUGAAGAUGGGCAAUUUUACUUGGAGAUUUUUCACAAAAGACUUUGGGGUAAGUGAUUUCUACUUAUUUUUAAUAUUAUUUUUAAAAUCUACAUGUCUUAACAACACCCAAAACAUGGAUUUUGAGGUAAAUUUAGCAGGGUUUCUCACAAUUUAAAAGAGGAAAAAUUAAGAAUUUGAGCUAAAAUUUGAACUUGGAUUUGAAAACGAAAUAUAUAUUUGAACUCGUGGGGUUAUAGGUAGUUGGGAUCAACUCAUUGACUCAGUUUUUAUCAUGUAGACCCGAGUUACCUUUUAUUGAUUUUUUGGAAGCUGAUCAAAGAUGGAAACUUUAUUGUUUGGAAUUGAUUCUUAUGACCUUGUUUGAUAUUUUGAGUUGUAUUUGACUAGAUUUGAGACAGCUAUAGGUGGUUACUAAGGGAAAGGCAAUUUUUGAAGGUUGAUUUGGGCUUGCUAAGGUAAGUAUCUUGUCUAAUCUUGUGUUCUAAUGUGUGAAAAGCAACGUGUAUGCGAGUGACAAGCGUAUAUGCAGGUGCUAUGAGUGAUUUAUGACCCGAUUAGACUUUAAUCUUUUAUUAUUUUGAUUGUGUGCUCUAUGAUACAUUUUAAUCACUUGUAUGACUAUGUAAACUUACUCUUUCAUACUAGAGAUCAUGUUUAGGAUUAUUAUCUCAUAAUUAUGAAAUUAUUGAUAUAACUGAUUUAGUUGCGGUCAUAUCUCACAUCUUGAGCAUAUAUUCGCACUUUAUUAUCAUUAUUAUUAUUAUAUUAUUAUUAUUAUUAUUAUUAUUAUGUUAUUAUUAUUAUUAUUAUUAUUAUUAUUAUGUCCUUGUGUACCUUAUUGAUGAAUUGUGAGCAUAGGUCUCUUUAUGAUAAAUUGGUAUCUUAUAUUGUUAUGAUUAUAGCACAUAUAGACAUAUUGAGCGAAUUAGUUUGAUGUUGGCACUAUGUAUCUUCCAUACACAUAUUGUGGUGUUGUGGCACAAGGUCUUUACCGUGAACUAUGAUGAUAUAGUUACUGUUUUGCAUGAUUAUAUUAUAUUGUGCAGCGUGUGGAUUCUGAUCCACCCCUAGGUUCGCCUUCUCAUAUUUCUCUAUUAAUGGCGUACACGCAGAUUAUGGUAAAUUGACUGCUGUUGGUGGAUUCUAAUGUAGAAUCCGAUGAUGGAGAAUUUUAAGCAUAAAGAUGGAAGGUUUGACCAUGCAAGUGAAUCCUUUAUGCUUUAUUAAGCAUUUGGUAAGCUUUUAUGUUGACUUUUAACAUGCUACUAUAUGCCUAUAUUAUUUGUAGAUGACUCGAUUGCCAAGGCCGAUUUAUCUAUAAUGAGUUGAUAUCUCUUGAUUUGGUAGUUGAUGAUAUUGCAUCUUGUUAUAUUCUUAUUGUGAGUACUAUAAUUGCACAAAUUAUUGAUUAGUGAGUAUCAUAUAAUUUUAUCAUCGUCACUACUCCACCAAGGCUAGUCUUGGUACUUACUAAGUACACGUUAUUCCAUACUCAUACUACAUUUUUGCAUAUCUUGUACAGAUUCGGGCAUUAGCGGCAGCGGAUCUUAGGAGUGAACAUUGUUUGCUGAUAGAGAUGGUUUAAAGUAGUGCUGCUUGAUCAUUGUAGACCCUUGGAGUCUCGUUCCCUUAUCUUCAUACUACUAUUCAUACAUUUAGAUAGUAUUCUACUAUUGAAAUAUCUCCUUGUAUUCCGUUAUAAAGCUCAUGAUUUUGUACUACCUGGUUUUGAGAAAUUGAUAUUAUGGUAUCCGUGUAUUAGCUAUUGUUUAAGAUUUAUUUUGCUAAUUAU
rnacentral:lncRNA from 1 species